rnacentral:lncRNA from 1 species
GAGCAUGGCGGGGCCUGCUCGGGGUUAGGUAUGACUGAUCAGCAUCCUAACCUUUGUUUUAAUUAAAAUGUGAUAGUCCAAUUCGAUAAUUCUCUUGGAAAGAUUGAAUUACUCCAGUAUUCCAUUGAUGCAAGGUAUUGUGAAUGAUUCUAUACAAUACCUUAAUCUUAUGAAUUUAUGUCGAAUCUUUUACUAAAGUAUCUUGAGCCUUUGAACUUCUAUCAUAUUGAUUCAGAAUUGUUAUUGUUUAUUAUUACUUGCUGAGCAUUGUUGCUCACUCUUGCUAUUCUUUUUUUAACCAUUUCAGAAAGGAUUAAAGAUGAAUGGCUAGACUAUGAUUGCGAGUAAGGCUAAGGCUAGGCGAGGAUUCAGAGUUGAGGAUUCAGUGGUCAAGGAGUAUUCAGGAAGAUUUAUAAAGUUGGUGCUAGCUAGAGUUGAGCUAUUGAGAUUCAGAUGUAAUUCAUAGCUGGAACAAAUUGGCAGUGAUUCUUCUUAUCGAAGAUGAUCUGAUUUGGUAAGAGAUGUUGUGUAAUAAUUAGUGAUGGAUUCUAAUUUCAAUACUGUAACCUGGAUGCGAUCCUGUUGAUUUUAGGGGGUUUAAAUGUUCUCUUUCAAAUCUUUUAUUAAGGCUUUCAGGUUUUG